AUCCAUUUGAUGAGUGGCAAAUAGGACGAAACGCGCGUCAAACUGGAU
rnacentral:hammerhead_ribozyme from 1 species